AUUGAACGCUGGCGGCAUGCUUUACACAUGCAAGUCGAACGGUAACGCGGGGCAACCUGGCGACGAGUGGCGAACGGGUGAGUAAUGCAUCGGAACGUGCCCGGUAGUGGGGGAUAACUGCUCGAAAGAGCAGCUAAUACCGCAUACGACCUGAGGGUGAAAGGGGGGGAUCGCAAGACCUCUCGCUAUUGGAGCGGCCGAUGUCGGAUUAGCUAGUUGGUGGGGUAAGGGCCCACCAAGGCGACGAUCCGUAGCUGGUCUGAGAGGACGACCAGCCACACUGGGACUGAGACACGGCCCAGACUCCUACGGGAGGCAGCAGUGGGGAAUUUUGGACAAUGGACGCAAGUCUGAUCCAGCCAUGCCGCGUGCGGGAAGAAGGCCUUCGGGUUGUAAACCGCUUUUGUCAGAGAAGAAAUCUUCUGGGUUAAUACCUCGGGAGGAUGACGGUAUCUGAAGAAGAAGCACCGGCUAACUACGUGCCAGCCGCCGCAGUAACAC
rnacentral:rRNA from 1 species